UGAAGCCAGUCUUAACUAGUAUCUGAACUGGCGGAUACUUUCCAUUCUGCCUCAACGACUGCCCUUCUCCGGUAUAUUACAAUUACUCUUAAGGCUGGAGGAACCGCAGGAAGAGCAGAGCUGGGCGGGCACAGCAACGGGAAGGACAGGGAAUUUCCACGCUUCCCGGCACUCGCUGGUACACCAGCACCCCCAGGUCGCUUCUCCACUCGGCUGCUCUCCACCUGCGCGACGGCCUGUUUGCCCCAAACUAGUCUCAAGGGCGGGCCAGGGAGACUGGGGGCUUUCCCGCCGUCCCGGAAAGUUGUUCAAAUUAGGGGUAGAAUAGGCACAGGGUGAGGACACUAGGAGAAGUGAGAAGGUAAGAAGGACAGUAGGGGAGGGUGAUCCCUCAAACAUUGGCCAGGGAACCAGCGGUGCUGACGGAUGGUCAGAGAGAGGUUUGGGGAAUGCGUGGAGGUUCGGUCGACACUGGAUCCCCCGACCCUGGAGCCUGGAGGAAAUCGACUACAGUCUCGGGCGCCAGGAGGCGGAGGCAACUGAAGCAGCAGGAUGUUCGUCCCGGGCCCAGCAUCUGCCCAACUUCCCGCACCCCGUUCCGCGCCCCCACCCUCAUCCUCUCCCGGUCCGCCCCGCGGCGGCGGCGGC
rnacentral:lncRNA from 1 species